UACAGAGGUCUCAAGCGUUGUUCGGAUUCAUUGGGCGUAAAGGGUGCGUAGGCGGCGCGGUAAGUCGGGUGUGAAAUCUCGGAGCUUAACUCCGAAACUGCAUUCGAUACUGCCGUGCUUGAGGACUGGAGAGGAGACUGGAAUUUACGGUGUAGCGGUGAAAUGCGUAGAUAUCGUAAGGAAGACCAGUGGCGAAGGCGGGUCUCUGGACAGGUCCUGACGCUGAGGCACGAAGGUCAGGGGAGCAAACGGG
rnacentral:rRNA from 1 species